rnacentral:rRNA from 1 species
AUGAAUCCCGACCUGUCCCGGUGCGCCAGGCACCCGUCGCAGCCGCCCUUCACCGGCUUCUGCUCCGCCUGCCUCCUCGAGCGCCUCUCCGCCGCCGCGCUACCGGCCACGCCCCCGGCCCCCUCCCCGUCCCCCCUUCCCCCUCCUCCUCCUCGCCCGGCCGCGGCGGCGGCUCAUGAGGGGGAGGGGCGGACCACGCUGCUCCGGCUCUUCCAGCUCCACGACCAGCAGGACCGGCCCGCGCCGGUCGGAGCUGGAGACCAAGAUCCCGAGCCCAGGGCCGAGCCGGAGCCGCCGCCACCGCUGCAGCGGAAGCGCUCCCUCCGGCAGUCCUGCGAGUGGAUCGCCUGCUGCGAGCACGGCCACGACCCCGCCUCCUGGCUCCCCUCCCGCCAGUCCUGGGACGCCAACGACUCCGCCUCCGCCUCCGCCUCCGCCUCCGCCUCAACCUCCGCCGCCGCCGCCGCCGCGUCCAGCACCACCGCCCCUGCCUCGGCCUCCGCGCUCGUGCUCCACCCCAGCACAAGCAAGGCCUCGCUCAGGCCGUGGUGGGACCGCACCCGCCGGGCGGCGAACCCGGUGGCGGGCUUCCUCAGCAGAUCCCUGUCCUCCCAGUCGUGGCGGGAGACGGACGCCGCGGCGAGGUCCCGGGCGCAGGGCCACGCCGCGGCCCGGGUCAACGGGGGCAGCCACUCCGUGUCGUCGUCCGCGGGCGGCGUCGACUCCGAGGUGUCGCCGGCAGACUCGCUGCACGCGCAUGUACAUAGCGCCGGCCGCCGCGACUCCCUGCUCAGGAGGUUCUACUGGCUCGGCCGCAGCAGCAGCGUCCACUGCCCGUCGCCCCGCCGGAGCCCCGACACCGGAAUGCUGCGCUUCCACCGCACCCCUUCCACCACCAGGAGCAAGACCCAAGCGAGGAGGCGUCUCCACCUCUUUCCUGCUCGCAGUCACAGACAUCAGCAGCAACAACAUUAG